AACAAGCGCAACCAUGACUUUUCCUUGUUCAACUUUAAUCAUUCAUCUUAUUUAAUUUUUUAUUACUAUUAGAUUAUAAAAUAUAAUAAUACUUUAUGCAUGACUUAUUUUUUAUUUUUUUUAAAAAAAUUAAAUAAAAUGGACGAUUAAAGUUGGAGCGGUAAACUCAUGGCUGCGCAUAUU
rfam:Oryza barthii chromosome 2, whole genome shotgun sequence.